CCCCGGCACGAAGCGGUGGAGCUAUGUGGUUUAAUUCGAUGAUACGCGAGGAACCUUACCUGGGCUCAAAUGUAUGUUGACGUAUUCUGAAAGGGAUACUUCUUCGGACAAUAUACAAGGUGCUGCAUGGUUGUCGUCAGCUCGUGCCGUGAGGUGUCGGGUUAAGUCCCAUAACGAGCGCAACCCCUAUCAUUAGUUGCCAUCAGGUCAAGCUGGGGACUCUAAUGAAACUGCCUACGCAAGUAGUGAGGAAGGUGGGGAUGACGUCAAAUCAGCACGGCCCUUACGUCCAGGGCUACACACGUGCUACAAUGGCCGGUACAAAGGGCAGCUACCUGGUGACAGGAUGCUAAUCUCAAAAGCCGGUCUCAGUUCGGAUCGGAGUCUGCAACCCGACUCCGUGAAGUCGGAAUCGCUAGUAAUCGUGAAUCAGAAUGUCACGGUGAAUACCGGUUCCCGGGCCUU
rnacentral:rRNA from 1 species